GAUGAACGCUAGCGGCAGGCUUAAUACAUGCAAGUCGAGGGGCAUCAAGGUACACGAAAGUGUAUUGUUGGCGACCGGCGGACGGGUGAGUAAUAGGUAGGUAACCUACCUCAUACUGAGGCAUAGCUGGGAGAAAUUCCAGGUAAUUCCUCAUGAGGUUAUAUGACACAUGUGAUAUAAUCAAAGGUAUCGCAAGGUACUGGUAUGAGAUGGGCUUACUGACCAUUAGCUAGUUGGUAAGGUAACGGCUUACCAAGGCGACGAUGGGUAGAGGUCCUGAGUAGGGAGAUCCCCCACACUCGGUACUGAGACACGGACCAGACUCCUACGGGAGGCAGGCAGUAAGGAAUAUUGGACAAUGGGCGCAAGGCCUGAUCCAGCCAUGCCGCGUGCAGGAUGACGGUCCUAUGGAUUGUAAACUGCUUUUAAUACGAGAAGAACAACUCUACAUGUAGAGUCUUGACGGUAUCGUAAGAUAAGGAUCGGCUAA
rnacentral:rRNA from 1 species